UUAGAUUGUUUCCAUAUCUUGCCUAUUUUAAAUAAUGCUGCAGUCAACAUAGGAGUGUAUUGAUCCUUGAGAUACUGAUUCUAUUUCUUUUAGAUACAUACCUAGAAAUGAGAUUGCUGGAUCAUAUAGUAAUUCUAUUAUUAAUUUUUUGAAGAAGCUUCAUACAGUUUUUUAUAGUAAUUGUACCAAUUUAGAAUUCCUAGCAACAGUGUACAAAGGGUUUGCUUUUCUCCACAUCCUCAACCAACACUUGUUACCUCUUGUCUUUUUGACUCAGGACCCAGGGAUAAGGUUCAGAGGAGAGACCGCAAAGCCCUGGGGAUGGUUGGUCAAAACUCUGACUCAGAACCCAGGGGGCAGAGCAGAGUGCAGCAAUACAACCCUGGUGAUGACAGAUCAAAUCUCCACUUAGCUACCAAAGAGGGCUGCGGCAGCAUAAUAACAGCAUGACCCAGUUGAUGGCAAAUCAAGCUUAGCACUUGUUGGGUGGGGCACAGUGCAGAGGAGCUCAGAACCGCUAGAUGGCACACUCUGUGGUGCCCCAGUUCAGAGAGUGAGACACAGGCCUAGGCAAGUCUCACCAAGACUGGUCAGGGACUCCAGGCAGCUGUGUCAGCUGUGAUCAGUCUUGGUGAAAACUGCCCCUAAAGAUUGUGGGAUCCUCCGUAGGAAAGGCGACAGAUGUCCAUAGUAGUGAUGAGGAUUGCUAAAGUCCUCCUGGUUUGAUUUUUGUUGUUUUCUUGUUUUUUUGCUGGAAUGGAUACCCUCUGCGGGAGCUCCCCCUGGGCCCUGAGCAGCUCUAGGGGAUGGAAUAGCAUGGCGCAGAUAUCCAACACUGUAUUAGUGUCCAUAAUUUGAAACUACCAAAAGUAACUUCUCUGCCUCAUGUUUUCACUGUGGUAAACCAGAACAGGAAGGUCAGAAAUACCAGGAUUUAGCUUGGCAUCAAUGGGAAAUUAAAACAACAGCAACAAAAAGAAAAUAGGCCAAGGAGUUCACAUUAGAUUGGCUGGUUUAGGAAAGUUGCUCUAGAGGGCUGAUAAAUCAACUGACCUCUGAAUGACAAGAAACAAAGACAGUGAUCCUGAAAAUCUGGAAGAAGAAUAAAUAUAAAAAUGAUGUGAAAUACAGCUGACCAACAUUUAUGGAGGACAACCUGUCAUCUCCUCAUGACCAACCUUCUCAAGUAGCAUACCCCACAUUGGCUCAGUUUUCCUGUCUUAAAGCAAAACUCGAAUAUUGUUUCAAGAUUUUACAGAAGUGAUAUUUUGGAGAAGUCUUGAGAUUAUGAUGUUUACAUAUUUAAACAAUCCCAAUGUAUAGAAACUUCUCUUGGUGCUCCACCUGCAGAAGGUACAGCCAUAAAGACGGGACUCUUCACUCCAGCUCCUUUUGAGGGCUAUGGGUUCACCUCAGGAGAGAGUACAGAAGGGGCAAGUGACAAGUUCUUAUAGAAAAGGAAUGACAUUAGGUGAGAACUCAAAUGCAUACAAAGAAAUGGAAAAUAAAGCAAUUAUGAAUUUGCCAUAAGAGAGCUCAGAAUGUAAUGAAUAUAUGAAUUUUGAGAAAGGAUUGGAAGUGGAGAAGAGUAGCCCAGCAAGAAAACAAAACAAAACAAAGAUGAUUAUUACCUACUACAGAUAAAAUGAAGAAUGCAUCAUGGUUCCAGAAACAAAAGCUUUCAGGCAUUUGGAAGUUGCACACUGAGAGAUUUGUGAGUUAUACGUGGGACAAGGAUAGCAUCUGCCAUCUGCCACAGGAAUGAAUCAUCAACAAGGUUGUUUGUGCUAAAGGCUGCCAUGUAACACAAGGAAACACAAAGUGAAAUCUAAUUGAGACUGAUUGAAAAACUUUGCUUUUGGAAAAGGACAUCCUUACUUUCUUCUUCUCCUUCUUGCCUGAGAUGCAAGCUUAAUGCUGGGAAGGAAGAGCACCUGGGGACAUUUGUAAGGUUCUACUUUACAGAGAGCCUUCAUAAUUUCAGUAUAUAUGAGUGAAAUACAAGUAUAAGGCCAAGGCUUGUUUUAAUGACUGAAAGAGUAUAUGGAACAUAGUAGAUGCUUAAUACUUUUGAGGUCCUAUGCAAAUAGCAUGAGGGUCGUAUUCCAGAGAUGCUCAUCUCAGGAGUAGUGAAAAGACUGAAGUUCUGAAUCUACAAAGGAGAAGUUUCUUCUUGAUCUACUACUAAUGAAGGUUUUACUGGAUUAUCUGCUUAAAGGUCAAAAUGCCAAUUAGGAGUUUCUCAUCAGUGAUAAUUCAGAUAUAUGGAAAAAUGACAGCAUUAGCUUUUUAUCUUCUUGAGGAUUCAUAUCAUAUCACAUUUUAUUUGUGAGAAAGUUCACAGAACAUGAAAAUAUAUUAAUACAGUGGACAUCCUUCUGCAUAUAUAAACAUAACCGUGCCCCAUGAAAUGAAAAUACACAUGGAAGGACACUGGUCAUCUGAUUUAAGUCACAAACAUGAAUUACCACAUCGCCCAGGAUUUUGCACUUUAGAGCAUAACAACAAAAUACAAUAGAUGAGAGAGUUUGAGUGCCAAGGACCACAUCAUUAAAGGUCACAGGUGUGAACUCUGAAGAGCAAAAUCCCCAGGACCCAGGAGAUGAAUAUAGAGUUGGUAAUAAGAGAUCUGAAGGGAUUUGGGAAGGUGACGAUGGUAUCUGCUACAGGGCCUGAUGGGACUGAAGCAUUCCUUAAACUCAUCAAAUGGUUUGGCUUCUUAGAUAAGGGGGGGGGGAACUUGCAGAAAUGUCUGCAAAUAAAAUAUUCUAGCUAAGCAAAUGUUCUGGUUUGUAACUGAAUUAACAAGGAUUUAAAAAGU